rnacentral:rRNA from 1 species
UACAGAGGGUGCGAGCGUUAAUCGGAAUUACUGGGCGUAAAGCGCACGUAGGUGGCGACGUAAGUCGGGUGUGAAAGCCCCGGGCUAAACCUGGGAAUUGCAUUCGAGACUGCAUUGCUGGAGUACGGAAGAGGAGGGCGGAAUUCCCGGUGUAGCGGUGAAAGGCGUAGAUUUCGGGAGGAACAUAGGUGGCGAGGGCGGCCCUCUGGUCCAGUACGGCCACUCAAGUGCGAAAGCGUGGGAGCAAACAGG